AUCGAACGCUGGCGGCAGGCCUAACACAUGCAAGUCGAGCGAGCGGCGGACGGGUGAGUAAUGUAUGGGGACUGCCCGAUAGAGGGGGAUAACUACUGGAAACGGUGGCUAAUACCGCAUACUAUCGGAUAACCCAUAUGGGAUUAGCUAGUAGGUGGGGUAAAGGCUCACCUAGGCGACGCUCUCUAGCUGGUCUGAGAGGAUGAUCAGCCACACAUGGACUGAGACACGCCCCAGACUCCUUCGUAGGCAGGAGUGGGGAUUAUGGUACAAUGGGGGCAAUUCUGAUGCAGCCCUGCCGCGUGUUUGAAGAAGGCCUUAGGUUUGUAAAGUACUUUCAGCGGGGAGGCGUUACCCGCAGAAGAAGCGCCGGCUAAAUCCGUGCCAGCAGCCGCGGUAAUAC
rnacentral:rRNA from 1 species